rnacentral:ncRNA from 2 species
AAGAUGUAUGCUCAUGCUCGCUGUCGCCGCAGGGGAAUCCGGUGCGAAUCCGGAACUGUCCCGCAACGGUGUACUUGUGCAUGUCUCAUGCGCUUCGUCAGUCCGAGGACCUGCCGACAGUGCGUCCCGGCC